GGCUUUUUUCCAUCCCUAUUCUAUGCCGCUGUGUGUGCGUCAGUCUCUCGCUCCCGCUCGGUUGUGAUGCAGACGACGCCUCAAUCUCAUUUUUACUCGCGGUAAUCCAAGAGUAUUUUUGUUUGGUUCCUCAGUGUAGAUCUCAAAGCGUUCUUGUGUAGCAGAUGUGAAAUAGUGGGAACUUACAAUCUAUCUAGGAUUCGAUUACAGACCUUUUAGCAGCCGAUGAAUUUUUUAAUAUACUCUGUAGGAUUUCUAUCCUAGAAGUGUUGCAGAUAUCAUUGCGCAUUAUAAGACAAGUUAAACUAUGAGGCGAAUCAGAGACACACAUUAUAACCGAAAAGCAUUAUUUGAAACUUUGCUGGAUGCAGCUCUGGAGGAAUCACCGAGUGGUUCCUAAAGAAAUGAGGACCACUGCAGGUUAUCGCUUUAGAUAAUGUCAACACUUACAGUCAGACUCAGCGCUCAGUUGCAACACCAUUUUUGAAGACAGAGUAGAAAGAGCCACACCACUUGACAUAAUAUCACACCACAUUGGGCAAUACCACACAAGAAUACUUGUAAAAUACCACACUAAACCAUACCACACAAAACACACCUCACAAUAAGACACCUUACCAUACCAUAUCGCACUGCACACUGUAACAACCCAACGCCGGAAGCAACAGUUUCAGCAAGACCCAGUCUGAAAUGUCCCCAUCGUAGCUCAAACGUAAACUACGGAAGGGAGUAACUUCUCGUGUAACAUGCUAUGACGCACAGAACAUGCCGCUGCUGUGCCUACAAAUGUCUCUCCAAGCGCUUCUGGAGCCGCCACUCGUUGAUGACGCUGAGGGGAGCGGUCAACCUGGCCGUCAUCUCCAUCCUGCUGGUCGUGGUCUACCUGUUCUCGUUGGACCAGGUGCAGGAGCACCUUCGUGUGCUGCACGGCGACGUCGCCCGGUGGGGCCCCCAGAAUGAGCCGCCUAUGACGUACUGCCAGUGGAG